AACGUAGGAGGCAAACGUUAUCCGGAAUUACUGGGCGUAAAGGGCGCGUAGGUGGUUUCUUAAGUCUGGCGUGAAAUCUCUCGGCUUAACCGAGGCAGGUCGUCGGAUACUGCGGAACUAGAGGACGGUAGAGGCGUGUGGAAUUCCGGGUGUAGUGGUGAAAUGCGUAGAGAUCCGGAGGAACACCAGUGGCGAAGGCGACACGCUGGGCCGUACCUGACACUGAUGCGCGACAGCGUGGGGAGCAAACAGG
rnacentral:rRNA from 1 species